AAUAUGGGGAUAAGAAAAAAUAGCGUUUGUAUAAAAAUUAGAUAGUUUCUCGGGAUAAGAAAAAUAACGUUUGGAUUGAUAAUAUAGAAUAAAAAAAAUAGUGAAUAGUUAUAUAUAAAAAAUGAAAGUAUUGAUGAGAAUAAUUAUACCAGAUUAUUUCAGAUACCUGAGAAUUACUAUUGCGGAUAAGGGAUUAUUCCACUUCUUAU
rnacentral:lncRNA from 1 species